GACGAACGCUGGCGGCGUGCCUAAUACAUGCAAGUUGAGCGCUGAAGGUUGGUACUUGUACCGACUGGAUGAGCAGCGAACGGGUGAGUAACGCGUGGGGAAUCUGCCUUUGAGCGGGGGACAACAUUUGGAAACGAAUGCUAAUACCACAUAACAACUUUAAACACAAGUUUUAAGUUUGAAAGAUGCAAUUGCAUCACUCAAAGAUGAUCCCGGGUUGUAUUAGCUAGUUGGUGAGGUAAAGGCUCACCAAGGCGAUGAUACAUAGCCGACCUGAGAGGGUGAUCGGCCACAUUGGGACUGAGACACGGCCCAAACUCCUACGGGAGGCAGCAGUAGGGAAUCUUCGGCAAUGGACGAAAGUCUGACCGAGCAACGCCGCGUGAGUGAAGAAGGUUUUCGGAUCGUAAAACUCUGUUGGUAGAGAAGAACGUUGGUGAGAGUGGAAAGCUCAUCAAGUGACGGUAACUACCCAGAAAGGGACGGCUAACUACGUGCCAGCCGCCGCCGUAA
rnacentral:rRNA from 1 species